rnacentral:rRNA from 1 species
CACGAACGCUGGCGGCAGGCUUAACACAUGCAAGUCGAACGCCCCGCAAGGGGAGUGGCAGACGGGUGAGUAACGCGUGGGAACAUACCCUUUUCUACGGAAUAGCUCUGGGAAACUGGAAUUAAUACCGUAUACGCCCUACGGGGGAAAGAUUUAUCGGGGAAGGAUUGGCCCGCGUUGGAUUAGCUAGUUGGUGGGGUAAAGGCCUACCAAGGCGACGAUCCAUAGCUGGUCUGAGAGGAUGAUCAGCCACAUUGGGACUGAGACACGGCCCAAACUCCUACGGGAGGCAGCAGUGGGGAAUAUUGGACAAUGGGCGCAAGCCUGAUCCAGCCAUGCCGCGUGAGUGAUGAAGGCCUUAGGGUUGUAAAGCUCUUUCACCGAUGAAGAUAAUGACGGUAGUCGGAGAAGAAGCCCCGGCUAACUUCGUGCCAGCCGCCGCAGUAAAAC